GAUCCUGGCUCAGGAUGAACGCUAGCUACAGGCUUAACACAUGCAAGUCGAGGGGCAGCAUGGUCUUAGCUUGCUAAGGCUGAUGGCGACCGGCGCNCGGGUGAGUAACACGUAUCCAACCUGCCGUCUACUCUUGGCCAGCCUUCUGAAAGGAAGAUUAAUCCAGGAUGGCAUCAUGAGUUCACAUGUCCGCAUGAUUAAAGGUAUUUUCCGGUAGACGAUGGGGA
rnacentral:rRNA from 1 species